rnacentral:rRNA from 1 species
GCAUAUCAAUAAGCGGAGGAAAAGAAACCAACAGGGAUUGCCCCAGUAACGGCGAGUGAAGCGGCAACAGCUCAAAUUUGAAAUCUGGCCCUCGGGUCCGAAUUGUAAUUUGUAGAGGAUACUUUUGGCGAGGUGCCUUCCGAGUUCCCUGGAACGGGACGCCAUAGAGGGUGAGAGCCCCGUCUGGUCGGAUACCAAGCCUCUGUAAAGUUCCUUCGACGAGUCGAGUAGUUUGGGAAUGCUGCUCAAAAUGGGAGGUAUAUGUCUUCUAAAGCUAAAUAUUGGCCAGAGACCGAUAGCGCACAAGUAGAGUGAUCGAAAGAUGAAAAGCACUUUGAAAAGAGGGUUAAAAAGUACGUGAAAUUGUUGAAAGGGAAGCGCCUAUGACCAGACUUGGGCCCGGUGAAUCAUCCAGCGUUCUCGCUGGUGCACUUUGCCGGGCACAGGCCAGCAUCAGUUUGGCGCGGGGGAUAAAGGCUUUGGGAAUGUGGCUCCCUCGGGAGUGUUAUAGCCCAUUGCGUAAUACCCUGCGCCGGACUGAGGUACGCGCAUUGCAAGGAUGCUGGCGUAAUGGUCAUCAGCGACCC